GACGAACGCUGGCGGCGUGCUUAACACAUGCAAGUCGGGCGGUAAGGCCCUUCCGGGGGUACACGAGCGGCGAACGGGUGAGUAACACGUGGGUGACCUGCCCUUAGCUCUGGGAUAAGCCUGGGAAACUGGGUCUAAUACCGGAUAUGACUCCAUGGCGCAUGUUGUGGGGUGGAAAGCCUUGCGCGGCUAGGGAUGGGCCCGCGGCCUAUCAGCUUGUUGGUGGGGUGAUGGCCUACCAAGGCGACGACGGGUAGCCGGCCUGAGAGGGCGACCGGCCACACUGGGACUGAGAUACGGCCCAGACUCCUACGGGAGGCAGCAGUGGGGAAUAUUGCGCAAUGGGCGGAAGCCUGACGCAGCGACGCCGCGUGGGGAUGACGGCCUGGUGUAAC
rnacentral:rRNA from 1 species